UUUUCUGGGCACUCGGCAAAGUCUUUGCCGAGUGCCCGACACAAAACACUCGGCGAAUCAGUGUUUGCCGUCAAGAUUUUUGCCGAGUGUUACACUCGGCAAACGCUUUGCCGAGUGUUUUUUGGACUUCGCCGAGUGCCCCUGGCACUCGGCAUCUUUCCUGUUUCCCGUAGUGAGCUAUACUGGCAUGCAUGCAGGUU
rnacentral:lncRNA from 1 species